rnacentral:rRNA from 1 species
GACCUAGGAUCAGGAGGAACUACCCGCUGAACUUAAGCAUAUCAAUACCCCCAGG